AUGACAUGAUGGGGACACCUGCUCAAAAAAAUUUUUAACCCUUUCCAAGCAUCAUAAAGUUACUCACCCUCUGUCCGGUAAAAGUUAUUAAUCUCAUCUGUCAACCU